rnacentral:rRNA from 1 species
AGAGUUUGAUCCUGGCUCAGGAUGAACGCUGGCGGCGUGCUUAACACAUGCAAGUCGAACGGACUCAUAUUGAAACCUAGUGAUUUAUGAGUUAGUGGCGGACGGGUGAGUAACGCGUGGAAAACCUGCCGUAUACUGGGGGAUAACACUUAGAAAUAGGUGCUAAUACCGCAUAAGCGCACAGCUUCGCAUGAAGUGGUGUGAAAAACUCUGGUGGUAUACGAUGGUUCCGCGUCUGAUUAGCUUGUUGGUGGGGUAAUGGCUCACCAAGGCGACGAUCAGUAGCCGGCCUGAGAGGGUGAACGGCCACAUUGGGACUGAGACACGGCCCAAACUCCUACGGGAGGCAGCAGUGGGGAAUAUUGCACAAUGGGGGAAACCCCGAUGCAGCGACGCCGCGUGAGUGAAGAAGUAUUUCGGUAUGUAAAGCUCUAUCAGCAGGGAAGAAAAUGACGGUACCUGAUUAAGAAGCCCCGGCUAACUACGUG